UACGGAGGGUGCGAGCGUUGUUCGGAUUUAUUGGGCGUAAAGCGCGUGUAGGCGGUUUUUUAAGUCUGAUGUGAAAGCCCCGGGCUCAACCUGGGAAGUGCAUUGGAUACUGGGAGACUUGAAUACGGGAGAGGAGAGUGGAAUUCCUAGUGUAGGAGUGAAAUCCGUAGAUAUUAGGAGGAACACCGGUGGCGAAGGCGGCUCUCUGGACCGAUAUUGACGCUGAGACGCGAAAGCGUGGGUAGCAAAC
rnacentral:rRNA from 1 species